rnacentral:lncRNA from 1 species
GUUGCAACUUGAAAUGGGGUUCCUUGGAGUGUGUUCACGGUUUUGGAGGUGGGAAGAAACAUUUUGAAAGUUUGGUUGUUGAAGAAAAACGAAAAUGGAGUGGAGAAGGAAGAGAGAAGGUGUAAUUAAUUUUUUACCCGAUUUGGCCAAGCACAAAUGGAGCUACUUUUGANNAAGGGAACAUUUCCUCUUUAAGUUUUGUCCUAAAGCUUGUUUAAUUACCCCUUUGUUUUGCAUUAAUUUGCAUU